ACAAAAUGAAGUUUCUGUCAUGGCUGUCUCAGUUCCCUGACCAGAACCGUCAAAAAUCAGUGGGGUGAACUGUGUGUGUGUGAGUGUGUGUGAGGGAGUGUGUGCUCUACCAUGGCUCUAGCAGUAAAUAUGCGGAACUGACGGGAAUGUUAUUACAGUACCUCUUUGAUUUAGACAGCAAAACUUACUAAACCAGUUUGUGUGACAUUAGCUUAAAGGCAUAGCCUACACAGCUUCAUUGGUUUAUAUAGCCAUCAAAACUUAUUGUAGGACCAAGGACAAAGACAGAAAAAAGAGAAGCGCUGAUGGCAUCAGGUACUCGGACAUUAGGAAACUGGCCUACACCAUUAUUUCCUAACGUAAUCAUAAAAUCCAGCAAAGUGACAUUUGCUUUUGUAUCUUUUAGACGACCCAUUUUUAAACAAUCUUGUACUUAGAUUAGUGAAGGACCAGCUCCAGAAUGAGGGAAUACGUAUACCGUCUCUUCCUGAACCGCAGCCAAUAAGUGCUGAGCAGGAACAGCUCCUGGAACAGGCGGCUGACAUCAUCAGAGACAUAAACAACUCACUCGAUCAAAAUCCGGAAUUUAACGAGUUAAAUGGUUGAUAUGUUUGCACAUGUGGCAGAUAGACAGAAUUUCCAGAUGAUUCUGGACAAUAUGUUUGCUGAUAACAUCAACUGGGGGCGUAUUUUGGCUGUGAUCUGUUUAGCUGGGAGAAUUGCAAAGAUUCAUCCUAAUUCAAUCCCAAGCAUUGUGUCUUGGACACAGGAUUACUUCAGGGAUAACCUACUGAAAUGGAUCUGCAGUAGUGGAGGAUGGAUCAGCAGUAUCAGUUUCUUGGUUAAUUAUACCAUUGAGCAAAAUUUUGGUUCCUCAUCACGCCUGAUUUCCCUCUCCUGUGGAGUCAUCUUCAUCAGUGGAUUACUGCUGGGUGGCCUCAUCAUCUGGAGACUGAACAGAGGUUCCUGAGGAGGGUCAGUGGAGGACUGAUAAAGUGACAAAACGAGGAAUGUUGGAAUUUACAAAUGCUAUGGACCAAGUUUGGUGACCAAAUAUAGGAGAAGAGAAGGCUGCUUGGGAGUUUUAUGCACAGUGAGAAAGGGUGUAAAAUGUUAUGUUAUUUGUUAAAUUAAUUCUCAAUAAUGUAGAUUAAUAAAGGUUAAUGAAAAAGACUUGCAAUAAAUAAAGUCCUUUCCCCAAACCCAUGAAGGUAAGGGACAUGUACAGGAAUAUCAUUAUUAAAAAUAAUUUAGAUAUUUAAGCAGCAUGCAAAGGAAUGACAUUUAUUCUACAUUUAAACAAAAUGAUUCUGUAAUGUAUCUCAGAAGAUCAAAGUGUCUGAGGUUCUUCAAGUCUUACAGUAAAAACAGAAGUAUUAAAAA